rnacentral:rRNA from 1 species
GAUGAACGCUGGCGGCGUGCCUAAUACAUGCAAGUCGAGCGAACAGAUGAGGAGCUUGCUCCUCUGACGUUAGCGGCGGACGGGUGAGUAACACGUGGAUAACCUACCUAUAAGACUGGGAUAACUUCGGGAAACCGGAGCUAAUACCGGAUAAUAUAUUGAACCGCAUGGUUCAAUAGUGAAAGACGGUUUUGCUGUCACUUAUAGAUGGGUCCGCGCCGCAUUAGCUAGUUGGUAAGGUAACGGCUUACCAAGGCGACGAUGCGUAGCCGACCUGAGAGGGUGAUCGGCCACACUGGAACUGAGACACGGUCCAGACUCCUACGGGAGGCAGCAGUAGGGAAUCUUCCGCAAUGGGCGAAAGCUUGACGGAGCAACGCCGCGUGAGUGAUGAAGGUCUUCGGAUCGUAAAACUCUGUUAUUAGGGAAGAACAAAUGUGUAAGUAACUAUGCACGUCUUGACGGUACCUAAUCAGAAAGCCACGGCUAACUACGUG